GUCUACAGCCAUACCACCCGGACUAUGCCCGAUCUCAUCUGACCUCGAAAGCUAAGGGUCGGGCCUGGCCAGAAUCUGGACGGGCCGGUCUUGCUUGCUGGCUUAUCUCGUUUCUUAGCAGUGGGUC
rnacentral:rRNA from 1 species